UACGAAGGGGGCUAGCGUUGUUCGGAAUCACUGGGCGUAAAGGGUGCGUAGGCGGCCGUGCAAGUCUGGCGUGAAAGCCCCGGGCUCAGCCCGGGAAGUGCGCUCGAAACUGCGCGGCUCGAGUGCCGGAGGGGAGAGUGGAAUUCCUGGUGUAGCGGUGAAAUGCGUAGAUAUCAGGAGGAAUACCGGUGGCGAAAGCGACUCUCUGGACGGCAACUGACGCUGAGGCACGAAAGCGUGGGGAGCAAACAGG
rnacentral:rRNA from 1 species